UACAGAGGGUGCGAGCGUUAAUCGGAAUUACUGGGCGUAAAGCGUGCGUAGACGGUAGCGUAAGUCAGAUGUGAAAGCCCCGGGCUCAACCUGGGAAUUGCAUUUGAGACUGCUCUGCUCGGGUGCGGAAGAGGGAAGCGGAAUUUCCGGUGUAGCGGUGAAAUGCGUAGAUAUCGGGAGGAACACCAAUUGCGAAGGCAGCUCGCUGGGACGUCACUGACGCUGAGACGCGAAAGCGUGGGGAGCAAACAGG
rnacentral:rRNA from 1 species